rnacentral:piRNA from 1 species
AAGGAUACAUGCAGACAGAACAA